GGCCUACUCUAGCCCAACCACUUAGCUGAAAUAUUAAUCAAAAACUCACUUAACCUACACAAAACUAAAACAUUCUUUAAACUUAGUAUAGCUGAUAGAAAAGACUUUUGGCGCGAUAGAGAUCUCGUACCGUAAGGGAAAGAUGAAAUAGCAAUGAAAAAUAAAGAAGCAAAGAACAGCAAAGAUAAACCCUUGUACCUUUUGCAUCAUGAUUUAGCAAGAACAACCAAGCAAAACGAAUUUAAGCUUGCCACCCCGAAACCCGAGCGAGCUACUCACGAGCAGCUAUUCAUGAGCGAACCCGUCUCUGUUGCAAAAGAGUGGGAUGACUCGUUAGUAGAGGUGAAAAGCCAACCGAGCCGGGUGAUAGCUGGUUGCCUGUGAAACGAAUCUAAGUUCCCUCCUGAUCUUAUUCCUCCGGAUUAUACCCUCAACCCUAAUGUAAACAGAUCAAGAGCAAUUUAAAGGAGGUACAGCUCCUUUAAAAAAGAAAACAAUCUCUACUAGAGGAUAAUUCCCCAACUCUCCCUGACCGUGGGCCUUCAAGCAGCCACCAAUAAAGAAUGCGUCACAGCUCUAUACAUAAAAAUCCAACGAAUAAAAUGACUCCCUCCCCACUAACAGGCCAACCUAUACCAAUAGGAGAAUCAAUGCUAAAAUGAGUAACCAGGGAUCUUUCCCUCUUAAGCGCAAACUUACAUCCAUACAUUAUUAACAGACCAUAAACUAGUAUUUCAACUCCAACAAGAUUAAGAUACUAUCCCACCCUGUUACCCCAACUCAGGUGCGCCUAUUAGAAAGAUUAAAAUCUGUAAAAGGAACUAGGCAAGCCUAAGGCCCGACUGUUUACCAAAAACAUAGCCUUCAGCCAAUCAAGUAUUGAAGGUGAUGCCUGCCCAGUGACACAAUGUUUAACGGCCGCGGUAUCCUAACCGUGCGAAGGUAGCGCAAUCAAUUGUCCCAUAAAUCGAGACUUGUAUGAACGGCUAAACGAGGUCUUAACUGUCUCUUACAGAUAAUCAGUGAAAUUGAUCUCCCUGUUCAAAGCAGGGAUACGCCCAUAAGACGAGAAGACCCUGUGGAACUUUAAAAUCAACAGCCACUGCCCAUAAACUCGAACCUAACAGGCCUACUACCCCAAUAAUGCUGGCUGAUAUUUUUCGGUUGGGGCGACCUUGGAGAAAAACAGAUCCUCCAAAAAUAAGACCACAUCUCUUAACCAAGAGCAACCCCUCAACGUACUAACAGUAACCAGACCCAAUAUAAUUGAUAAAUGGACCAAGCUACCCCAGGGAUAACAGCGCAAUCUCCUCUAAGAGCCCACAUCGACGAGGAGGUUUACGACCUCGAUGUUGGAUCAGGACAUCCUAAUGGUGCAGCCGUAUUAAGGGUUCGUUUGUUCAACGAUUAACAGUCCUACGUGAUCUGAGUUCAGACCGGAGUAAUCCAGGUCGGUUUCUAUCUAUGACAAACUUCCCCUAGUACGAAAGGACCGGGGAAGUGGGGCCAAUACUACAGCACGCCCCCUCUUUAAGUAAUGAAUUCAACUAAAUUACUAAAAGAUAUCCACCCUUCAAAUUCCUAGAUAAGGAUCA
rnacentral:rRNA from 1 species